UUGUUUAUAUCUUCUUUUAUUUUUGGUCACCAACAAAAAAUUCCAGGCUUCCAGGGUCAUCUAGUACCGUUUCCUAUUCGUUUCCAUCUAAGUCCGAACCCCGGUCACUGUGAAGGAAUCCUCUACCCUCGGUUCUUCUCUUAUGGAGACAACACCCUCUUCUCACCGACUAACCUUCCGCUCUUUCCGUUGCUCCUGUUUUAGGCACUGCUGUCGCUGUUUCUGCUGUUUCUACUCCUUUUCAUAAACCUAAUCUCUCUUUUCUCCUUCGCAACCUUCAACACUUCACCUUUUUUCCUCUCUGUUCUUCUCACCGCCGAUGGCUGAUCAAACUGCUCUUCUUAAGAAUUCAUUUUAAAACUUCCUCACUGUUCUACUCGUUGGUUUUAAGAAUUCAUGGACCGAUUGGAGCGAGGGUUCAUUCCUUAUUGUAUGUGAAACUCUAAUCAGUUUCCUCUGGAGCUUAAAGGAAGCUGAUAGUCUGUUUGAUUUCUGUGAUAUCAAUACCUCUACAAUCGAUGAAAGUCUCAGAGGUCCAAGGGGAGCUAUUAUUGAUGGGGAUGACAAGGAAGAAAGGCAUGGUUCUCAACCAUGGAGAUGAUUUCGAGGAAAAUAUAAUUUUUGCUUUAUAUCUGUCAACAAAAGGAAGCCCUAAUAAUAAUGAUAAUAAUAAUAAUCACAUUUAUGCUCUAGCCAUUUCCUUCAAACUAGCUAUAGCUCUAGGAUGCAAAAUAUAUGCAACAGAUGACGAAAGAUGCAUCAGCAUUAACCUCUGCUUUGUCCAAAAGAAAAUUCAGACUUGUGACUAAUGGGAUUGACAAUAAUCUUUUACUUUGGGAUCUGGGAGAACUUGAAUUAGUUGGUAUUAUCUCUUUCUACUUUUAUCAAUAUGUCAUGGAAAUUAUACAUGUAUUUACAAUGACUAUGAUGGUUUAAUAAUAAAUUUUGUUGUUUGAUCAA